rnacentral:rRNA from 1 species
AUUGAACGCUGGCGGCAUGCUUUACACAUGCAAGUCGGACGGCAGCACAGAGAAGCUUGCUUCUUGGGUGGCGAGUGGCGAACGGGUGAGUAAUAUAUCGGAACGUACCGAGUAAUGGGGGAUAACUAAUCGAAAGAUUAGCUAAUACCGCAUAUUCUCUGAGGAGGAAAGCAGGGGACCUUCGGGCCUUGCGUUAUUCGAGCGGCCGAUAUCUGAUUAGCUAGUUGGUGGGGUAAAGGCCUACCAAGGCGACGAUCAGUAGCGGGUCUGAAAGGAUGAGCCGCCACACUGGGACUGAGACACGGCCCAGACUCCUACGGGAGGCAGCAGUGGGGAAUUUUGGACAAUGGGCGCAAGCCUGAUCCAGCCAUGCCGCGUGUCUGAAGAAGGCCUUCGGGUUGUAAAGGACUUUUGUCAGGGAAGAAAAGGCUGUUGCUAAUACCGACAGCUGAUGACGGUACCUGAAGAAUAAGCACCGGCUAACUACGUG